AGAUAAUUGCCUAUAAGGGUGCGUUUGGUUCGAGUUAUCCUGGCAGGAUUACAGACAAUUCUGUCAGGAUAACUGUCUUUGAUUAAUCUGCUAUGUAAUCUAGUCGUUAAUGUAGCAUUACAAAUCGAGUAGAAUUACAUCGAAAAUAUUAACGGAAGGGGGGUCGUGUAUCUUGCAUUACUGAAACCCGUUAAUACUACAUAUUAUGUAAAAUGACAAUUUUAUCCUCCAACAACCCUAAAUCUAAUUAACAAUAUUAUUUUCAUCUCUCUCGCCUUCCCCCCGGCCCUCUCUCUCGCACGCUGCUUUCUCUCGCUCUCUCUCUCUCGACGUCUCUCUCUCUCUCUCUCUCUCCCCCCUAUUAUCUUCUAUUGCGUCGUCCUCCUAAGUAAUCAUCACGAUCUCCUUCCCUCCAUUCAUCAUUUUCGUAAAAAAUAAUAUUCAAAUGACCACAACAAAGGCAACUUUGGAAAAAACUAUACUUUUAUGUCAGGAUUACUAAAUUUUAUAAACGGAACCAAACAUAUUAAUGCUAUAAACACUGUAAUCUAGUAUUACAUUACUGUAUUAAACCAAACGCUCUAAUGCAGCAUUAGUAGUAAUCUCACGUCGAAAUCCAAAAUACCUGAAUAUGUCGAGAUACUUUGUAAUAUUACAUAACUCGAACCAAAUGGGGCUUAAGAUCGAACAAGUAGGAAACAGAUAUAGAAAUAC
rnacentral:lncRNA from 1 species